UACGUAGGGUGCGAGCGUUAAUCGGAAUUACUGGGCGUAAAGCGUGCGUAGACGGUUGCGUAAGACAGAUGUGAAAUCCCCGGGCUCAACCUGGGAACUGCAUUUGUGACUGCAUCGCUGGAGUGCGGCAGAGGGGGAUGGAAUUCCGCGUGUAGCAGUGAAAUGCGUAGAUAUGCGGAGGAACACCGAUGGCGAAGGCAAUCCCCUGGGCCUGCACUGACGCUCAUGCACGAAAGCGUGGGGAGCAAACAGG
rnacentral:rRNA from 1 species